GCUGCAUCCUUGAGCGGUGAGGCAGCAUGUCUUUUUCCAAUGGAAAUAAUCACAUGCUUUUGUGGGCCCAACAAAUGGCUGCCUCUCCCCAGCACUGACCUUCAGGGGUAUCAGGAUUCUCUGCCUUGCCAGUCAGUCAGUGUGUGUAGCCUACCUCCACUGCAUUGCAGUCCUUUCCCUCUGGGAACUCCUGAGCCGGUAACCUAUUGCAGCAAUGUGCCGUUGAAGAGUGAGUGCGGUCACAUGGUUUCUCAG